rnacentral:lncRNA from 12 species
AUUUUGUGCUGAGAUUGAAAAUUUGAAACAGGAGGUCACUGCACACAUGAGAGAAAUGCAGUGACCAGCAGGGCUGGAAUGAUAGGCUGGAUUGUGCAGGAACUGGGAAAAGUGGUUCCACAGCCAGAUGAGAAAUACAAGGGUCACACAGAGACGGAGGAGGUCACUGAGGUGCAAGAGGUCAAACACGUUCAUGAUGCUGAGCCACUGCCUCAUAUUCCUGUGGUGGAGGUUGUGCCUAAUGAGGAACCAGACUCUGCUAAUGUGCCUUUCUCUCCCAGGGUAAUAGAAUGGAUUAAGCAUGGUUUUGAGAAAGUAGUUCCUCAGUCUCCUGUCCAUCUUCGUCCUCCCGCUAGCACAGAUGCACCCGCCCAGAAGGUUGCUUCUGCACCUGUGACUCCCUGCAAACAAGAGCCAGGUAACAUUUUAAAAAUCAAGAAUGUUAGGCUUUCUUGGUGA